rnacentral:tRNA from 1 species
AGAAACUUAGGAUAAUAUAAACCAAGAGCCUUCAAAGCCCUAAAUAGAGACAAACCCCCUCUAGUUUCUG